rnacentral:lncRNA from 13 species
AGAAACACAAGCAACUGUGUUAAGUAGUUGUAAAUGCUAAGAUGAAAAAUAAAUUUGGUUAAGCGCAAGACGUCCUGAUGGGGGCGCUGUUUUAGUAAAAUAAAAUCAGGGACCAUUUUUGGACUUUCGAAGAGAGAUGUGAUUGAAGUGAAGGAAAGAACUGUGCAGUUAUCAGGGAAAAGCAUUCUGGAGAGAGUGAAGAGAAAAUGCAAAGGUACUAUGGAUUUAGCUUUGUGCAAAGAAGACUCAGCUUUACCUCGUGGAGUAUGCACCCCAAUGAGACAAGUGUCAUUGAAGAGGUCUCAUUUGAUCCCUGGGAUCACAUCUGCCAACAAAGAAAAAACACCUAUAUCUCUGUUUCCGCCUGUUUUCUGGGGAACCCAGGCUUAAAUAAUAUUGACUCAAGAAUUUGGAUCUCUGAUUAUUCCUCCUGGCACCCACACAUCUAUCUAAAGAGUAAAGAGACUAAAGAGACUAGCCCAGUGUCUGGCACAUACAAGUAAUAAAUACUUAAUGAAGGCAUGAAUAAAUUAACAAGACGCUUGUGUCUAUGAGAAAUU